CGCGAGACUUGUCUUAAAAAAGCUACAACAGUUAAUGUGUAAAUUCGGGUAAUAUGUCCGAAUAUAAAUUACAGACCGUCAAAUUUGAAAGUCCUGUUGUCAAGCAGUAAAGUUCGAGACUUGUCAAUCUGUUCACUCUUCACUCGAUCUAUGGAAUAUGAUACAGUCCAUUCUGUAUGCCGUCUGUACGUUCUAAUUAUGUACUUUUAAGUUGGCUGAAGAGGGGCUAAUGCCCGAAACGCGA